rnacentral:rRNA from 1 species
AGAGUUUGAUCAUGGCUCAGAUUGAACGCUGGCGGCAGGCCUAACACAUGCAAGUCGAGCGGAUGAAGGGAGCUUGCUCCUGGAUUCAGCGGCGGACGGGUGAGUAAUGCCUAGGAAUCUGCCUGGUAGUGGGGGAUAACGUCCGGAAACGGGCGCUAAUACCGCAUACGUCCUGAGGGAGAAAGUGGGGGAUCUUCGGACCUCACGCUAUCAGAUGAGCCUAGGUCGGAUUAGCUAGUUGGUGGGGUAAAGGCCUACCAAGGCGACGAUCCGUAACUGGUCUGAGAGGAUGAUCAGUCACACUGGAACUGAGACACGGUCCAGACUCCUACGGGAGGCAGCAGUGGGGAAUAUUGGACAAUGGGCGAAAGCCUGAUCCAGCCAUGCCGCGUGUGUGAAGAAGGUCUUCGGAUUGUAAAGCACUUUAAGUUGGGAGGAAGGGCAGUAAGUUAAUACCUUGCUGUUUUGACGUUACCAACAGAAUAAGCACCGGCUAACUUCGUGCCAGCAGCCGCGGUAAUACGAAGGGUGCAAGCGUUAAUCGGAAUUACUGGGCGUAAAGCGCGCGUAGGUGGUUCAGCAAGUUGGAUGUGAAAUCCCCGGGCUCAACCUGGGAACUGCAUCCAAAACUACUGAGCUAGAGUACGGUAGAGGGUGGUGGAAUUUCCUGUGUAGCGGUGAAAUGCGUAGAUAUAGGAAGGAACACCAGUGGCGAAGGCGACCACCUGGACUGAUACUGACACUGAGGUGCGAAAGCGUGGGGAGCAAAACAGGAUUAGAUACCCUGGUAGUCCACGCCGUAAACGAUGUCGACUAGCCGUUGGGAUCCUUGAGAUCUUAGUGGCGCAGCUAACGCGAUAAGUCGACCGCCUGGGGAGUACGGCCGCAAGGUUAAAACUCAAAUGAAUUGACGGGGGCCCGCACAAGCGGUGGAGCAUGUGGUUUAAUUCGAAGCAACGCGAAGAACCUUACCUGGCCUUGACAUGCUGAGAACUUUCCAGAGAUGGAUUGGUGCCUUCGGGAACUCAGACACAGGUGCUGCAUGGCUGUCGUCAGCUCGUGUCGUGAGAUGUUGGGUUAAGUCCCGUAACGAGCGCAACCCUUGUCCUUAGUUACCAGCACCUCGGGUGGGCACUCUAAGGAGACUGCCGGUGACAAACCGGAGGAAGGUGGGGAUGACGUCAAGUCAUCAUGGCCCUUACGGCCAGGGCUACACACGUGCUACAAUGGUCGGUACAAAGGGUUGCCAAGCCGCGAGGUGGAGCUAAUCCCAUAAAACCGAUCGUAGUCCGGAUCGCAGUCUGCAACUCGACUGCGUGAAGUCGGAAUCGCUAGUAAUCGUGAAUCAGAAUGUCACGGUGAAUACGUUCCCGGGCCUUGUACACACCGCCCGUCACACCAUGGGAGUGGGUUGCUCCAGAAGUAGCUAGUCUAACCGCAAGGGGGACGGUUACCACGGAGUGAUUCAUGACUGGGGUGAAGUCGUAACAAGGUAGCCGUAGGGGAACCUGCGGCUG